rnacentral:lncRNA from 1 species
UUGAUGGAGGCGUGGCUUUCUGCGAUGGAGGCGUUGUUCGAGGAUAUCUACACCCUCGAGAAGGACAAGGUUCGUUUGGCGGCUCACUGUUUAGAGGGGCCGGCUCGAUCGUGGUGGACGAGAGUGAAGAAUGGUCGGUCCUUGGAUCCAGCUACUAUGACUUGGGAGGCGUUCCGGGAGAUUCUAUUGAUGGAGUACUUUCCGGAAAGUGACAAGCGGAAGAUCAAUGAGGACUUUCGCAAGUUAAGGCAAGGAAG